UACAGAGGUCUCAAGCGUUGUUCGGAUUCAUUGGGCGUAAAGGGUGCGUAAGCGGCGCGGUAAGUCGGGUGUGAAAUCUCGGAGCUUAACUCCGAAACUGCAUUCGAUACUGCCGUGCUUGAGGACUGGAGAGGAGACUGGAAUUUACGGUGUAGCGGUGAAAUGCGUAGAUAUCGUAAGGAAGACCAGUGGCGAAGGCGGGUCACUGGGCCGCAACUGACGCUGAGGAGCGAAAGCAUGGGGAGCGAACAGG
rnacentral:rRNA from 1 species